AUUGAACGCUGGCGGCAUGCCUUACACAUGCAAGUCGAACGGCAGCACGGGUGCUUGCACCUGGUGGCGAGUGGCGAACGGGUGAGUAAUACAUCGGAACAUGUCCUGUAGUGGGGGAUAGCCCGGCGAAAGCCGGAUUAAUACCGCAUACGAUCUACGGAUGAAAGCGGGGGACCUUCGGGCCUCGCGCUUUAGGGUUGGCCGAUGGCGGAUUAGCUAGUUGGUGGGGUAAAGGCCUACCAAGGCGACGAUCAGUAGCUGGUCUGAGAGGACGACCAGCCACACUGGGACUGAGACACGGCCCAGACUCCUACGGGAGGCAGCAGUGGGGAAUUUUGGACAAUGGGCGAAAGCCUGAUCCAGCAAUGCCGCGUGUGUGAAGAAGGCCUUCGGGUUGUAAAGCACUUUUGUCCGGAAAGAAAUCCUUGGCCCUAAUACGGUCGGGGGAUGACGGUACCGGAAGAAUAAGCACCGGCUAACUACGUG
rnacentral:rRNA from 1 species